rnacentral:rRNA from 1 species
UACGGAGGAUGCGAGCGUUAUCCGGAUUUAUUGGGUUUAAAGGGUGCGCAGGCGGAUUUUUAAGUCAGCGGUAAAAUCGUGGAGCUCAACUCCAUCCAGCCGUUGAAACUGAUGAUCUUGAGUGGGCGAGAAGUAUGCGGAAUGCGCGGUGUAGCGGUGAAAUGCAUAGAUAUCGCGCAGAACUCCGAUUGCGGAGGCAGCAUGCCGGCUCCACACUGACGCUGAGGCACGAAAGCGUGGGUAUCGAACAGG